GACGAACGCUGGCGGCGUGCUUAACACAUGCAAGUCGAACGGAAAGGCCCUGCUUUUGUGGGGUGCUCGAGUGGCGAACGGGUGAGUAACACGUGAGUAACCUGCCCUUGACUUUGGGAUAACUUCAGGAAACUGGGGCUAAUACCGGAUAGGAGUUCCUGCUGCUUGGUGGGGGUUGGAAAGUUUCGGCGGUUGGGGAUGGACUCGCGGCUUAUCAGCUUGUUGGUGGGGUAGUGGAUUACCAAGGCUUUGACGGGUAGCCGGCCUGAGCGGGUGACCGGCCACAUUGGGACGGAGAUACGGCCCAGACUCCUACGGGAGGCAGCAGUGGGGAAUAUUGCACAAUGGGCGGAAGCCUGAUGCAGCAACGCCGCGUGCGGGAUGACGGCCUUCGGGUUGUAAACCGCUUUCGCCUGUGACGAAGCGUGAGUGACGGUAAUGGGUAAAGAAGCACCGGCUAACUACGUG
rnacentral:rRNA from 1 species